AUCGGCUUGUUGGUGGGGUAGUGGCCUACCAAGGCGUCGACGGGUGCCGGCCUGAGAGGGCGACCGGCCACACUGGGACUGAGACACGGCCCAGACUCCUACGGGAGGCAGCAGUGGGGAAUAUUGCACAAUGGGCGCAAGCCUGAUGCAGCGACGCCGCGUGAGGGAUGACGGCCUUCGGGUUGUAAACCUCUUUCGCCAGGGACGAAGCCGUAAGGUGACGGUACCUGGAUAAGAAGCACCGGCUAACUACGUGCCAGCAGCCGCGGUAAUACGUAGGGUGCGAGCGUUGUCCGGAAUUAUUGGGCGUAAAGAGCUCGUAGGCGGUUUGUCGCGUCGGCCGUGAAAACUGGAGGCUUAACCUUCAGCUUGCGGUCGAUACGGGCAGACUUGAGUUCGGUAGGGGAGACUGGAAUUCCUGGUGUAGCGGUGGAAUGCGCAGAUAUCAGGAGGAACACCGGUGGCGAAGGCGGGUCUCUGGGCCGAUACUGACGCUGAGGAGC
rnacentral:rRNA from 1 species